AGUGAACGCUGGCGGUAGGCCUAACACAUGCAAGUCGAACGGCAGCACAGUAAGAGCUUGCUCUUACGGGUGGCGAGUGGCGGACGGGUGAGGAAUACAUCGGAAUCUACUUUUUCGUGGGGGAUAACGUAGGGAAACUUACGCUAAUACCGCAUACGACCUACGGGUGAAAGCAGGGGAUCUUCGGACCUUGCGCGAUUGAAUGAGCCGAUGUCGGAUUAGCUAGUUGGCGGGGUAGAGGCCCACCAAGGCGACGAUCCGUAGCUGGUCUGAGAGGAUGUUCCGCCACACUGGAACUGAGACACGGUCCAGACUCCUACGGGAGGCAGCAGUGGGGAAUAUUGGACAAUGGGCGCAAGCCUGAUCCAGCCAUACCGCGUGGGUGAAGAAGGCCUUCGGGUUGUAAAGCCCUUUUGUUGGGAAAGAAAAGCAGCAGGUGAAUACCCCGCUGUUCUGACGGUACCCAAAGAAUAAGCACCGGCUAACUUCGUG
rnacentral:rRNA from 1 species